AACAAGAAGAAGAAAAAAU
rnacentral:sRNA from 1 species